GGGGAGGGGAAACGGCAGCCUCAACCGCCUGGCAGCGGCGGUUUCUUCUCUUCGUGAAAAUCGUGAUCUCAUCUCUCCGUCCAUGGGCGAAAAAACAGCCAUCACCAGGCCAUUCACGCUUUGUGCUUUUGUUAGCAGAGCCCAGGCAGCCCUGCAGCCCACAUCUAGGGUACAAACGGAACGGCGGCGUUUUCCUUGUAUCAUUUAGAGGAAAUUUUUGAGCUGAACAGUAUUUUUUUUCUCCCUCUCUCUCUCUCUGAAAUAUUGCUGAGAUUUAAAGGAGGACGAAGACAACAGAUUCAUAGCUGGGUCUUGCUGUUUUCCUGACGCUGACCACAGCGGAUCUAGGUGGCUAUUUCGUUGGUGCACAGGCGUUCACAGAGGCAGAGAGGGGAGAAAGUUGUCAAACAGAUUCACAGACUGUCAAAGUGCGGCUUAAACCGAGUUCCUGGGCUCCCUCACUGGCUUCGUCCACUUAAACUUUUAACGUACACAUGUAGAGAGCUGAAACUCCAGGGGUAACAUGGGACAGGUCCUCUUGAUUUAAUGAAAACAGAAGAUCAACUGGACCGGGUAGCAAGAAAUAAGGCUUAAGAAGCACUGGUUUCUCUGCAGAAGACAGCAAGAUGCCCCAGGGAAUGUUUGUGAAAAAGGAUGACUGGAUGGGAAGCAAGCUGAAGAAAAAGAAGGAAAGAAAGAGAGAAAUCAGUAAAUCACCACACAAGAGGUGGAGAAGAGGACUUAUAAAUAUUGUUUCUAUGACAUUUGAAAAUAAAUGUUUUACUCCAUGCUAAUAGUGAAUGUGAUGUCUUCAGUUUGAAGGGCUUUAAGUGAAGCUCAUUAAAACCCACUAUUUUCCA
rnacentral:lncRNA from 1 species